GGGUUGAUCGUGCCGGACCCUACUGCUAUCGGGGUGGGACUUAAACAGGCGAGUCGAACGACUUCAAGCCAUGAUGAAUUCGUGGCACACGGCUCACUAACACGUGGCUAACCCACCCUCGGGACGGAGACAACCCCGGGAAACUGGGGCUAAUCCCCGAUAGGCGAAGACCCCUGGAAUGGGUCCUCACCCAAAAGGCGCUAUAGUCAUGCUCUGUAACCUCGCCCGAGGACGGGGCCGCGGCCGAUCAGGUAGUUGGUGAGGUAACGGCUCACCAAGCCUAUAACCGGUACGGGCCGCGGGAGCGGGAGCCCGGAGAUGGGCACUGAGACAAGGGCCCAGGCCCUACGGGGCGCACCCGUUGCAAAGACUCCGCAAUGCACGAAAGUGUGACGGGGCUACCCCGAGUGCCGUCCGCUGAGGAUGGCUUUUCUCCGCUGUAAGGAGGCGGAGGAAUAAGGAGAGGGCAAGUCUGGUGUCAGCCGCCGCGGUAAUACCAGCUCUCCGAGUGGUAGGGAUGAUUAUUGGGCUUAAAGCGUCCGUAUCCGGCCUUUCAAGUCUCUCGUUAAAUCCAGCGAUUCAAUCGUUGGACUGCGGGAGAUACUGUUUGGCUAGGGGGCGGGAGAAGCCGACUGUAUUCUCAGGGUAGGGGUAAAAUCCUAUAAUCCCGGGAAGACCACCAGUGGGCGUAGGCGGUCGGCUAGCACGCGCUCGACGGUGAGGGACGAAAGCUGGGGGAGCGAACCGGAUUAGAUACCCGGGUAGUCCCAGCCGUAAACGAUGCGGGCUAGGUGUUAGGGUGGCUACGAGCCACCUUAGUGCCGCAGGGAAGCCAUUAAGCCCGCCGCCUGGGGAGUACGGCCGCAAGGCUGAAACUUAAAGGAAUUGGCGCGGGAGCACCACAAGGCGUGAAGCUUGCGGUUCAAUUGGAGUCAACGCCGGGAACCUUACCGGGAGCGACAGCAGAAUGAAAGCCAGAUUGAAGGUCUUGCUGGACAAGGUGAGAGGAGGUGCAUGGCCGUCGCCAGUUCGUUCCGUGAGGUGUCCUGUUAAGUCAGGCAACGAUCGAGACCCGCACUCUUAGUUGCGACUUGGCACGGAUUACCGUUCAGGGCACACCAAGGGGUCUGCCGCCGAUAAGGCGGAGGAAGGAGUGGGCCACGGCAGGUCAGUAUGCCCCGAAUCGCCCGGGCCACACGCGAGCUGCAAUGGCUGGGACAAUGGGUUCCGACCCCGAGAGGGGAAGGUAAUCCCGAAACCCGGCCUCAGUUUGGAUCGGGGGCUGUAACCCGCCCUCGUGAAAAUGGAAUCCCUAGUAAUCGCGCGUCAUCAGCGCGCGGUGAAUACGUCCCUGCUCCUUGCACACACCGCCCGUCGUUCCACUCGAGUGGGGUUUGGGUGAGGCGUGGUCUUCUUGGCUGCGUCGAAUCUAAGUUCCGCGAGAGGGGAAAAGUCGUCACAAGGUAGCC
rnacentral:rRNA from 1 species